ACGUCCUGCCUCGUGAUCGUCUUCUCACCCUUCACGCGGGCAGGCGGAUGAGAGAAGACCCCCGUGAGGACAUGACUCACGGGGGUCUUCC
rfam:Streptomyces yokosukanensis strain DSM 40224 genomic scaffold PRJNA299221_s022, whole genome shotgun sequence.